GGCAGAAGAAUAAAGUGAAGUGAUAGGCAUGUCACUGCCUUGGAAGGGAAAUUGUUCCAGUCCACAAGGGAUUCUUGUAUUGUGAUUAUUAAUAUAGUUCACCAAAUGGUCUUGGCUGGGAGCCUGAAGGUGUAGCAGCUGCAGGGACUCGAAGCUCUCCACCGCUGUGGCUCCUGCCUGCCUGCCUUCUCAAGACAGGUUUUCCCCUUCUCUAGGCUGGCGUUCCUCUGUCUCCCAGAACCCAGCUCUGAUCGUUCUUUUCCCACAAGUUCUCCUGGAUGAACCCCGCUCUUCCUGCACCCUAUGCCACCCUUACUUUCUGGGUGCAGAUGUCAAGGACUAUUGAGUGCCAUCCUGGAGGAGUUUUAAUGAUCACCUCAUGAUUCUGCUGGUGGACAUACGCCUCUAUGGAGCUCCUCACCUGUCAGUCAGCUUUCCACACCCUAGCCAGGGUCCUCCCUGUGCCCCACCCUCUGUCCAGGGUAGCUUCAAGCCUUCUCUUCCCCUGCUCUCCAGAGGUAAAUGGGACAAGACAGGAGCAGAGAGAAAGCAGAGUGGCUGAGUGGUUUCCGCCAUUCACUGCUAAGCACAAUAAACCC
rnacentral:lncRNA from 1 species